GAUGAACGCUGGCGGCGUGCCUAAUACAUGCAAGUCGAGCGAACAGACGAGGAGCUUGCUCCUCUGACGUUAGCGGCGCACGGGUGAGUAACACGUGGAUAACCUACCUAUCAGACUGGGAUCACUUCGGGAAACCGGCGCUAAUACCGGAUAAUAUAUUGAACCGCAUGGUUCAAUAGUGAAAGACGGUUUUGCUGUCACUUAUAGAUGGAUCCGCGCCGCAUUAGCUGGUUGGUAAGGUAACGGCUUACCAAGGCAACGAUGCGUAGCCGACGUGAGAGGCGGAUAGGCGACACGGGAGCUGAGACACGGUCCAGACUCCUACGGGAGGCAGCAGUAGGGAAUCUUCCGCAAUGGGCGAAAGCCUGACGGAGCAACGCCGCGUGAGUGAUGAAGGUCUUCGGAUCGUAAAACUCUGUUAUUAGUGAAGAACAAAUGUGUAAGUAACUAUGCACGUCUUGACGGUACCUAAUCAGAAAGCCACGGCUAACUACGUG
rnacentral:rRNA from 1 species